ACAUAGAGAGUUGUCCGCUCAAAGGAAGCGGGCAGAGUAACACAAUUAAGCGCAAUUCCUUUUCGGGUAAGUUCCGAAGCGCACGAAUGGUGUAACGACUGGAGAACUGUCUCAACGAAGAGCUCGGUGAAAAUGCGAUUCCCGUGAAGACGCGGGAUACCUGCAGCAAGACGAAAAGACCCCGGAAGCUUUACUGUAGCUUGGUAUUGGCCUUACGGAAUUCAUGCGUAGCGUAGUGGUGAGGGGUUGAAGCGUUCCUUUCGGGGGACGUGGACCCAACAAUGAAACAGCCAUCUUGAAUUUUGUAAGUUCUAACCCCAUGGGCAAAAACCAUGAGGGACAGUGCCUGGUGGGCAGUUUUAAUGGGGCGUUAUCCUCCAAAAAAGUAACGGAGGAGUUUAAAGGUUGGCUUAGCCCGGAUGGAAAUCGGGCUGGACGUGCAAACGCGAAAGCCAGCUUAACUGCGAGGCCGACAAGCCGAGCAGGCGCGAAAGCGGAAGUUAGCGACCCGACGGUCCUUCAUAGGAAGGCCGGAGAUAUCGGACAAAAGUUACUCCGGGGAUAACAGGCUGGUGUUGCCCGAGCGUCCCUAGCGACGGCAACGCUCGGCACCUCGAUGUCGGCUCGCCCUAGCGCGGGGGUGGAGAAGCUCCCAAGCGUGUGGCUGUUCGCCACUUAAAAGGGCACGUGAGCUGGGUUCAAACCGUCAACCCAUGUUCGAUACGUUUUUAAUUUUCGUAGCCGAAAGGCCUAACGAAAACUAAAAAGUAUCUCACAUAAUUGGACCGAGGACAUCAAACACGGCGGCCCUUGGCAGUAAUACCAAGGAGCGAAACCCUAAAACCGAGAAAUCUCGGUUCGGGUAAAAAAUCGACUCAUAUCGGUGAAGUCCCACAAAGUUCUGACCUGGGCUUAGUGGUGAUAAUACCGAGGGAAGUCUACUGAAAUUGAAAGAAGGAAACGAGAGGCGGGGUGCGCGACGGGAUAGCGCCUUGGUUGACAUCCAGGGAUACGAAGGUUCGAAUCCUUCCCCUGCCUCCAGUCCUUUGCGAAGCAGUCGUGCUUCGCUCCUUCUUUCAGUUUCAGUAUGACCCCGUAGAGACUUAAUCUUGAAAAAAGAUUGGAAUCAGUUUUCGAAAAACUGGUUAACACGUCGAUCCCCCGAUCGCGAUCGGGGUGGUGGUAUAGUCCAAACAAUUAGUAAUAGUUGAGUAUUGCGUGAGACAGGUUGGUCUCUAUCUGUUGCAGGCGAGAGGCACUUGAGGGGAGUCGUCCCUAGUACGAGAGGACCGGGAUGAACGUACCGCUGGUGUACCAGCUUUACUACCAAGUGAAGUGCUGGGUAGCUAUGUACGGAAGGGAUAAGCGCUGAAAGCAUCUAAGCACGAAGCCUACCCCGAGAUAAGGUGCCAGUUCUGGGCCGCAAGGUCCGGAGCAGCGGUUCGUGGAAGACUACCACGUUGAUAGGCUCUAGGUGUAAGGCCGGUAACGGUUUUAGCCGAGGAGUACUAAUAGCCGUGCGACCCGCCCCU
rnacentral:rRNA from 1 species